CUUUCCGGCUGGAAUGGGGAAUUUGUGAGGUAGGCCGGAAGUGGUGUUGCGGAGGGAACUGUGGGGAGAGCAGAGGGGCAGCUCUGCUGGAGAGACCUGAGGCUUGCAUCGCUGGGCCCGGCCGGGUCGCUGCGGCUGGGCUGGAGGUCAAGGAUGCAUUCCAGGAAAGUUCUAUAAAAAUAUACCAUCAACUCCAACCUGAUAUUUGACCUAGCCAUGGAAAACCUCAUUGGCUCCUCACUGGAUCAGACCAUAAAAAUGAUCCAGGAAUGAAAAUCUAAGAUAAAUUCCCACCACUUCAAGAUGUUCUUAUACAAGUCAACAGUCUAGCAGAUCAGCCAGUCUCUUUCAUCAUCAAGCAGACAUACUCAAGUGCCAAUUAUAACAUUUUAAUCAAACUGGAACAAAUUGCUAUUAAAAUGGAUCAUUUCUUUAUUAAAAGAAAGAGGAAUAGUGAAGUGAAAUACACAGAAGCAUGUUCAAGUUCAUCUGUUGAAUCUGGAAUUGUGAAUAGUGACAAUAUUGAGAAAAAUACUGACUCCAAUCUGCAAACUUCAACUUCAUUUGAGCCACAUUUCAAAAAGAAAAAAAAGAAAAAUUUGAAACAUUAAGGGAAAACAGUUGGGUAAAAGAUCCAUUUGCUUUUCGAAACCCUGAAUCAAUAAUUGAGCUAAACUUGGUGCCUGAAGAAGAGAAUGAAUUAUUGCAGCUUAGUUCUUCAUAUACAUUGAAGAAUGAUUAUGAAACCUUAAGUUUAUCAGCAUUUUGGAUGAAGGUAAAGGAAGACUUUCCAUUGUUAAGUAGAAAGAGUGUCCUGCUAUUGCUACCAUUCACAACAACUAGUUUGUGUGAACUAGGGUUUUCCAUCUUAACGCAGUUAAAAACAAAGGAAAGAAAUGGGCUGAAUUGUGCAGCAGCUAUGCGGGUAGCAUUAUCUUCCUGUGUUCCAGACUGGAAUGAACUUAUGAACAGGCAAGCACACCCAUCAUAGUAAAUAAAAAUCUUACCUAGCUUUUGUCUUUGUAUUUCUUAUUUUGUAGUAUUUUUCUAUGUUAUAUUUAAAUGGUACUAUAAUAUUGUGAUACUUUUGUUAUGUUUUAAUUUUUGUUAUAUUUAAUAAAAUUAUUUUAUGUUCA
rnacentral:sRNA from 1 species